GGGCCGGUAGCUCAAUUGGCAGAGCCUUCGGCUCAUAACCGAACUGGUGUAGGUUCAAAUCCUACCCGGCCUACCA
rnacentral:tRNA from 1 species